rnacentral:rRNA from 1 species
GACGAACGCUGGCGGCGUGCCUAACACAUGCAAGUCGAGCGAAUGAAGUUCCUUCGGGAACGGAUUUAGCGGCGGACGGGUGAGUAACACGUGGGCAACCUGCCUCAUAGAGGGGAAUAGCCUUCCGAAAGGAAGAUUAAUACCGCAUAAGAUUGUAGCUUCGCAUGAAGCAGCAAUUAAAGGAGCAAUCCGCUAUGAGAUGGGCCCGCGGCGCAUUAGCUAGUUGGUGAGGUAACGGCUCACCAAGGCGACGAUGCGUAGCCGACCUGAGAGGGUGAUCGGCCACAUUGGGACUGAGACACGGCCCAGACUCCUACGGGAGGCAGCAGUGGGGAAGAUUGCACAAUGGGGGAAACCCUGAUGCAGCAACGCCGCGUGAGUGAUGACGGUCUUCGGAUUGUAAAGCUCUGUCUUCAGGGACGAUAAUGACGGUACCCGAGGAGGAAGCCACGGCUAACUACGUGCCAGCAGCCGCCGUAA